UACGGAGGAUGCGAGCGUUAUCCGAAUUUAUUGGGUUUAAAGGGAGCGCAGACGGGUCGUUAAGUCAGCUGUGAAAGUUUGGGGCUCAACCUUAAAAUUGCAGUUGAUACUGGCGUCCUUGAGUGCGGUUGAGGUGUGCGGAAUUCGUGGUGUAGCGGUGAAAUGCUUAGAUAUCACGAAGAACUCCGAUUGCGAAGGCAGCACACUAAGCCGUAACUGACGUUCAUGCUCGAAAGUGUGGGUAUCAAACAGG
rnacentral:rRNA from 1 species